rnacentral:rRNA from 1 species
UACGUAGGGGCCUAGCGUUGUCCGGAUUUAUUGGGCGUAAAGAGCUCGUAGGCGGUCUGUCGCGUCGGAUGUGAAAAUCCAGGGCUCAACCCUGGACCUGCAUUCGAUACGGGCAGACUAGAGUUCGGCAGGGGAGACUGGAAUUCCUGGUGUAGCGGUGAAAUGCGCAGAUAUCAGGAGGAACACCGGUGGCGAAGGCGGGUCUCUGGGCCGAUACUGACGCUGAGGAGCGAAAGCGUGGGGAGCGAACAGG